rnacentral:lncRNA from 1 species
UGAGUAUUUUGCCAUACAUGCCACAUUCAAAACACACAAGCCAUUUUACCAAUUUAGGCCUUCGGAUAGUGUGGACGAGUCUUCGACUUAUCCCGAUUCUCAAGCCGACUUGUCAACAACUACAAUGAAUGAAAAGAAGGGGUAAGCAGUAAGUUCACAUGCAAAUAGCAAGUAACAUAAUCAUGCAAUUCCACAUAAAACAUCAUUUGUAUAAACAACACCAAGACAUUCAUGUUUCAUUUGCAUUUAAUAUCUUUCUACGAUUUCAUCAUACCAAGUUCUCAACCCGAGGAUUUAAGCACAUACCUGUCAAAUUUUCUCAUUCACCACACUUACCAAUAUGUCACCUUCGUUUUAGGCAUUCUUCUCAUUCACUUAAGAUUCACCCGUUGAACAUAUCGGAAUAUAAUUCGAAUACGCGGAUUUCAUGAACGUAAGUGCCAUACCCGCAGCUAGACAAACUCAAUAGCCUGCGGAACUUAUGUAGCCAAGCUACCAUGUAACCCGCCCAUAAGUGAACUUGGAUUCAACUCAACGAGCUCGGGCGUUCGCAUCCAUAAGUGAACUCGGACUCAACUUAACGAGUUCGGAUGCCUAGUUACAUCUCACGAACUCGGACUCACGAACUCGGACUCAACUCAAUGAGUUCGGAACUCAAGUAUCCUAAUGACAUGUCACUUGUAUUCUAGUCUAUUCCUAAGGUUCAAAUGGGCUUUUUCCUCGAUCUCACAUCUUUGCCGUCUUCCACGGAAUAUCGGAACCGAUACUCGAUGAUAGUUCAUACUCAUCAAGUAAUUCACAUAAUUACAUAUUAUUCAACAAUAACCACAAAACAUAACAUUUCAUGAUAAUAAUAAGCAUCAUAUCAUAUAAACAACAUUAAAUUGCUUAAAAUGACAAUUAUGUUACUACAUUUACACAUGAACUUACCUUGAUACAAAAUUAUUAGCAAUCGAGCCUAUUCUUCGUAAACUUUGUUUUUCUCUCGAUCGCGACUUGAAUCUCGUUUCUCUUGAUCUAUAAUGCCAAAUUAAUCUUAUUUAAUACAUACAUUCAUCAAAACAGCAUUUAAUACGAACUUUGGCAAAAUUACAUUUUUUCCCCUAAACUUUUGCAUAAUUACACUUUUGCCCCUAGGCUCGGGAAUUAAACUUCAUCCCUUAUUCAUAUGUCUUAUGACAUGCUGAUCAUUUUUUCCUUCUAUGAAAACAUAAAAUUCACACUCUAACAUGUACUUAUGACUAUUAGGUAUUUUUACCGAUUAAGCCUUUUACUCGUUUUCGCUUAAAAUCGAGUAGCACAAGUUGUCUAACAUAAUUUAAAACCUCAUAUUCUAUCAUAAAACACCAAAAUACACAAAUUUCACCUAUGGGUAUUUUUCCAAAUAUGAACCCUAGGUUGAAUUAUUGCUAGCAUAAGUUAAUUCGAUCUACCGGGAUUUCAAAAACAUAAAAAUCAUUAAAAACGGGGCAUGAAAUAACUUACUAUGAAGCUUGAAAGUUGAAGAAACCCUAAAUAUGGGGAGAGGUAAAAUUCGGCAGCAACAAUAUGGAGAAGAUGAUCAUUUUGUGUUAUUUUUCCCAUUUUAUUUCAUUUAAUAUGCAAAUGACCAAAAUGCCCUUACUACUAAACUUUCAAAAAAUUCCAUCCAUGUCCAAUUUUUGUCCAUAGACUUAGAAAUUGGUCAAAUUGGUAUUUAAGACCUCCUCAUUAAUAUUCCAAAGCAAUUUCAUACUAAAAACUCCUAGAAUGCAAGUUUUGCAAAUUAUUCGAUUUAGUCCCUAAUUUCAAUUUAAGCACUUUAGGCAUAGGAUUUCAUCACGAAAUUUUCACACAAUCAUGCAAUCAUAUCAUAAACAUCAAAAUAAUUAUAAAAUAAUUAUUUCUAUCUCAGAUUUGUGGUCACAAAACCACUAUUCCGAUUAGGCCCUAAUUCGGGAUAUUACAAUAAGUUAAUUGCUUAAUUUGUAUUAGAUAUUGUAAUUAUUUGAGUUUAUUUUUUUUACUUAACUAAUAUUUAGAUACUGUUUAUACUUAGAUAUUGUAAAUAUUUAAUUUUAUUUUUACUAAAUUAAUAUUUAGAUGCUAAUUUGUAUUAGUUUAUCAAAUUGAACUAAAAAUGUUACUAAAUUUAUGAUAAAAGUUAUAAAUUCUAUAAAAAUUAAAUUAAAAGAAAACUUUGGAGUUAAUAAAGGACUAAAAAUGAUUAUCUUUUUAAAAAUAUUUUAAAAUUUUAGAGUUAGGAAUAAAUUGAUAGAUUUUUAAAAUUUUAAGGGCUAAAGUUAUUAAUUUUUUUAGAAUUAGAACUAAAAUGAUAUAUUUUGUAAACAUUGAAGGUUGGAUUUGUUAAAAUUUAUAUUUAGGAUCAAAUUAAUGGAAUGUACAAACAUUAAAGGGUAAUUUUGUUACUAUACCAAUAAAAAAAGCCCAUGUCAGCUCAAAGGGAUUAAAAUAUGGGUAAACUACACCAACAGUUACUCAACUUUGGGGUAGUUGACAAAACAGUUACUCAGGUUUCAAUUCAGUCACUCAACUUUCGAAAAAUAACAAAACAGUCACCACUAACCUUUUCCGUUACAAAUGUAACGGAGCUACCGUUUUCUGUUAACGGAGCUGCCAUUUUUCAUCCCCUAUCACUGCUCUCCCAUCCCUCUCCCUCUUUCCCACCACCCCCCUACUUUGAUUCUCUCUCCCUCCCCCCUCUUCCCCACCAUGUUGCACCAAACUAGGGAACCACAUCUUCACAUUUGGUAAGCACAAAAUCAAGCCUAGCAAGUUUGGGUGUUUCAUAUUGUUCACCUUCCUUAAUUCCCAUCACAAACCCAAGAAAAUAAAAUCUCAAAAAAUAAUCCAGGCUACCUUGUUGCAGCCACCAAAUUCGAAUAAAAUGUCAGAUUAGUCUCCCAUAAUUCUCCAAAUUUCAUGGGUGCAUAUUUAGUGUUUAUCUGAACUUUUUAAUUCAUUCCCUUAUCCCUCUUUAGAGGAAAUGUAAUCUACAAAAAAUCUCUCAAGUAUAAACAUUCUUUCUUAGUCCUUUUCCUUGUAACCCCACAAUGGAGCUUUGGACUCUUACAUAGGCAGAAUUUCAUUCUUUUCCUACGGCACAUCCCUGGCCCAUAAAUUUUCAUUUGAACUUUGCAACUAAAAUCUCUAAACCCAAGUCCAAGUUUUAACCACUAUUUGGAUUCAAGGUAGAUUUUUUUCCCUUUACUAGUAUGUAGAAGUUAUCAUAUUGUUAAAUUUUGUAACUUUGAUUUAAACCCAUAAUCCUAAUCCUUCAUAGGUUUAUAUGAAUUCAAACAUCAAUCAUUUUAGGCAUCAACACAACAAAACUAAACAAUGGAAAAAAAAGACAAAGAUAAAGAGAUUUGAGAUAUACCGUGAAAACGAUGCCAAAAGCCAACAAAUACUAAACAAGGAAGCCGAGAACAUCCCACUUGGGACUUUUCAUAAAUCUGGCUGAACACCUGGAAGAUUCGGGAAUAACUUACCAUCAACCAAAA